rnacentral:rRNA from 1 species
AUUGAACGCUGGCGGCAGGCCUAACACAUGCAAGUCGAGCGGAGCGGCGGACGGCUGAGUAAUGCCUAGGAAUCUGCCAGGUAGUGGGGGAUAACGUCCGGAAACGGGCGCGAAUAACGCAUAAUAUGAGAGGAGCAUAGGUCGGAUUAGCUAGUUGGUGGGGUAAAGGCCUACCAAGGCGACGAUCCGUAACUGGUCUGAGAGGAUGGUCAGUCACACUGGAACUGAGACACGGUCCAGACUCCUACGGGAGGCAGCAGUGGGAAUAUUGGACAAGGGGCGAAAGCCUGAUCCAGCCAUGCCGCGUGUGUGAAGAAGGUCGUCGGAUUGUAAAGCACUUUAAGUUGGGAGGCGUUACCAACAGAAUAAGCACCGGCUAACUUCGUGCCAGCAGCCGCGGUAAUUC